CCUACGGGGGGCUGCAGUGAGGAAUAUUGGUCAAUGGACGAGAGUCUGAACCAGCCAAGUAGCGUGAAGGAUGACUGCCCUAUGGGUUGUAAACUUCUUUUAUAAAGGAAUAAAACGUGGCACGUGUGCCUUUUUGCAUGUACUUUAUGAAUAAGGAUCGGCGAACUCCGUGCCAGCAGACGCGGUAAUACGGAGGAUCCGAGGGUUAUCCGGAUUGAUUGGGUUUAAUGGGAGCGUAGAUGGGUUGUUAAGUCAGUUGUGAAAGUUUGUGGCUCAACCGUAAAAUUGCAAUUGAUACUGGCAGUCUUGAGUACAGUUGAGGUAGGCGGAAUGCGUGGUGUAGCGGUGAAAUGCUUAGAUAUCACGAAGAACCCCGAUUGCGAAGGCAGGUUACUAAACUGUGACUGACAUUGAUGCUCGAAAGUGUGGGUAUCAAACAGGAUUAGAUACCCGAGUAGUC
rnacentral:rRNA from 1 species